rnacentral:snRNA from 1 species
UGAUUGCUUACCUUAUGGAGUUU